CACGCCCUAAACGAUGAUCGCUUGUUUUUUGGAGUAUCGACCCUUCAAGAGACGAAGCUAACGCGAUAAGCGAUCCGCCUGGGUAGUACGACCGCAAGGUUAAAACUCAAAGGAAUAGACGGGGACUUGCACAAGCGGAGGAACAUGUGGUUCAAUUCGACGGUAAACGAAAAACCUUACCAGGGUUAGAAAUCUAGUUGAAGACGAGCAGAAACGUUCGUCGUCGCAAGACAAUUAGACAGGUGC
rnacentral:rRNA from 1 species